rnacentral:rRNA from 1 species
GACGAACGCUGGCGGCGUGCUUAACACAUGCAAGUCGAACGGAAAGGCCCUGCUUUUGUGGGGUGCUCGAGUGGCGUACGGGUGAGUAACACGUGAGUAACCUGCCCUUGACUUUGGGAUAACUUCAGGAAACUGGGGCUAAUACCGGAUAGGAGCUCCUGCUGCAUGGUGGGGGUUGGAAAGUUUCGGCGGUUGGGGAUGGACUCGCGGCUUAUCAGCUUGUUGGUGGGGUAGUGGCUUACCAAGGCUUUGACGGGUAGCCGGCCUGAGAGGGUGACCGGCCACAUUGGGACUGAGAUACGGCCCAGACUCCUACGGGAGGCAGCAGUGGGGAAUAUUGCACAAUGGGCGGAAGCCUGAUGCAGCAACGCCGCGUGCGGGAUGACGGCCUUCGGGUUGUAAACCGCUUUCGCCUGUGACGAAGCGUGAGUGACGGUAAUGGGUAAAGAAGCACCGGCUAACUACGUGCCAGCAGCCGCGGUGAUACGUAGGGUGCGAGCGUUGUCCGGAUUUAUUGGGCGUAAAGGGCUCGUAGGUGGUUGAUCGCGUCGGAAGUGUAAUCUUGGGGCUUAACCCUGAGCGUGCUUUCGAUACGGGUUGACUUGAGGAAGGUAGGGGAGAAUGGAAUUCCUGGUGGAGCGGUGGAAUGCGCAGAUAUCAGGAGGAACACCAGUGGCGAAGGCGGUUCUCUGGGCCUUUCCUGACGCUGAGGAGCGAAAGCGUGGGGAGCGAACAGGCUUAGAUACCCUGGUAGUCCACGCUGUAAACGGUGGGUACUAGGUGUGGGGUCCAUUCCACGGGUUCCGUGCCGUAGCUAACGCUUUAAGUACCCCGCCUGGGGAGUACGGCCGCAAGGCUAAAACUCAAAGGAAUUGACGGGGCCCCGCACAAGCGGCGGAGCAUGCGGAUUAAUUCGAUGCAACGCGUAGAACCUUACCUGGGUUUGACAUGGAUCGGGAGUGCUCAGAGAUGGGUGUGCCUCUUUUGGGGUCGGUUCACAGGUGGUGCAUGGCUGUCGUCAGCUCGUGUCGUGAGAUGUUGGGUUAAGUCCCGCAACGAGCGCAACCCUUGUUCACUGUUGCCAGCACGUUAUGGUGGGGACUCAGUGGAGACCGCCGGGGUCAACUCGGAGGAAGGUGGGGAUGACGUCAAGUCAUCAUGCCCCUUAUGUCCAGGGCUUCACGCAUGCUACAAUGGCUGGUACAGAGAGUGGCGAGCCUGUGAGGGUGAGCGAAUCUCGGAAAGCCGGUCUCAGUUCGGAUUGGGGUCUGCAACUCGACCUCAUGAAGUCGGAGUCGCUAGUAAUCGCAGAUCAGCAACGCUGCGGUGAAUACGUUCCCGGG